UGGCGAACGGGUGAGUAACACGUGGGUGAUCUGCCCUGCACUCUGGGAUAAGCCUGGGAAACUGGGUCUAAUACCGGAUAGGACCAUGCUUUAGUGUGUGUGGUGGAAAGUUUUUCGGUGUAGGAUGAGCCCGCGGCCUAUCAGCUUGUUGGUGGGGUAAUGGCCUACCAAGGCGGCGACGGGUAGCCGGACUGAGAGGUUGUCGGCCACAUUGGGACUGAGAUACGGCCCAG
rnacentral:rRNA from 1 species